GCCUAGUUGUGACUUCUAUGAAAAAUUUUUUCAUCAAUCACACUAUUGUGGCCACAGAUUCUUGGACUUAGCCUCUCAAAUCUUAUAGAACUACUCUCUAUCAAGGUCAAUAGAUCCUAUUUUGAUGCGCAUCCUACUCCUACAGUGGAUCAACUGUCGCUAACAUCUACUACAAGAGCUCAUUAAAAUCUAUGUUUAUAUGUCAAUCAAACUCCAGCAGCCUUGCUGUGAGUAACAGUACUAUCUCAAGUCAAAGAACCAGUCACACAACUAUAGCAUCAAGAUAAUCACUGAC
rnacentral:lncRNA from 1 species